CCUCGCUGAUGUUGUAGAGAAGGUUGUCUUCACGCUGCAUGACAGCUUCAAGAGGCCCAAGAGAAUCCUCAAGACGCCUCCUUUCAUGAUCACUGAGAAGGGGUACGGAGGAUUCUUUUUACCUGUUGAAGUUUUCCUGCAGAACAACAAACAAAUGAGGUUUGAGUAUGACCUGUCCCUGCAAGACCUCCAUGCACCGCCAAUUACCCUCACCCG